CCCUUCCAUCCCAUAAAAACUAACCCGCCUUGCCAAACAAACGGUUAGAUGUGAUUCAUGUAAACGUAGCUGUACAGUGGAGCCUAUAGAAAGUUUACCAUUUAAUAACCGAAAAUCAACAUAUUUUUAAACUUUAUUUGUUUGUUCUGGAGCGAAUCUUGGUUCAUUUAAAAUAUAGGACAACAGAGUUGGUGUAUGUGGGUUCGAUUCCCACCCUAAGCAAUCAUUUAUUUCAGCUGGUGCAAAGCGGGCAAAUUAGCUUAGUGGCCCCACACUGACUUUGUUGUUUCUAUCAAAAAAAUUCAGACGGCCGCGGCUAGGUCUUGACACUUUUUUUCUUUUGAAUACCUUAUACAACAAAACCAUGGUAUAAUUGUGAAAAUUAUACCAUGGAUAGCUAUGGUAUAAUUUUCGGUUAUUGAGAUUUAUACUCGGGUUGCACUCCCAUAGGUUACAUUGUACAGUUAUAGGUUAAC
rnacentral:lncRNA from 1 species